rnacentral:rRNA from 1 species
ACUUGUACUGAUUGAGAUUUUAACACGAAGUGAGUGGCGAACGGGUGAGUAACACGUGGGUAACCUGCCCAGAAGUAGGGGAUAACACCUGGAAACAGAUGCUAAUACCGUAUAACAGAGAAAACCGCAUGGUUUUCUUUUAAAAGAUGGCUCUGCUAUCACUUCUGGAUGGACCCGCGGCGUAUUAGCUAGUUGGUGAGGCAAAGGCUCACCAAGGCAGUGAUACGUAGCCGACCUGAGAGGGUAAUCGGCCACAUUGGGACUGAGACACGGCCCAGACUCCUACGGGAGGCAGCAGUAGGGAAUCUUCCACAAUGGACGCAAGUCUGAUGGAGCAACGCCGCGUGAGUGAAGAAGGGUUUCGGCUCGUAAAGCUCUGUUGUUAAAGAAGAACGUGGGUAAGAGUAACUGUUUACCCAGUGACGGUAUUUAACCAGAAAGCCACGGCUAACUACGUGCCAGCAGCCGCGGUAAUACGUAGGUGGCAAGCGUUAUCCGGAUUUAUUGGGCGUAAAGCGA